UACGUAGGGACCGAGCGUUGUCCGGAAUCAUUGGGCGUAAAGAGCGUGUAGGCGGCCUCUUAAGUCUGCGUGAAAUCUUGGCGCACCACGAGAGCGGUCGUGGAACAGGUGGCGUAGAGUGCGGGAGAGGAGAGUGGAAUUCCUGGUGUAGCGGUGGAAAUGCGCAGAUAUCAGGAAGAACACCCGUGGCGAAGGCGGCUCUCUGGAACGCAACUGACGCUGAGACGCGAAAGCGUGGGGAGCAAACAGG
rnacentral:rRNA from 1 species